rnacentral:rRNA from 1 species
UACGUAGGGUGCAAGCGUUAAUCGGAAUUACUGGGCGUAAAGCGUGCGCAGGCGGUCAUAUAAGACAGGUGUGAAGUCCCCGAGCUCAACUUGGGAACUGCAUUUGUGACUGUAUGGCUAGAGUACGGCAGAGGGGGAUGGAAUUCCGCGUGUAGCAGUGAAAUGCGUAGAUAUGCGGAGGAACACCGAUGGCGAAGGCAAUCCCCUGGGCCUGUACUGACGCUCAUGCACGAAAGCGUGGGGAGCAAACAGG